GACGAACGCUGGCGGCGUGCUUAACACAUGCAAGUCGAACGGAAAGGCCCUGCUUUUGUGGGGUGCUCGAGUGGCGAACGGGUGAGUAACACGUGAGUAACCUGACCUUGACUUUGGGAUAACUUCAGGAAACUGGGGCUAAUAUCGGAUAGGAGCUCCUGCUGCAUGGUGGGGGUUGGAAAGUUUCGGCGGGUGGGGAUGGACGCGCGGCUGAUCAGCUAGUUGGUGGGGUAGUGGCUUACCAAGGCGUCGACGGGUAGCUGGCCUGAGAGGGGGACCGGCCACACUGGAAGUGGGACACGGGCGAGAGUCAUACGGGAGGCAGCAGGGGGGACGAGGGGACAAGGGGCGCAAGCCGGAGCCAGCGAUACCGCGUGGGAGAACAAGGCCUUCGGUGGGGAAAGAGCUUUUGCGGGGAAAGAAAAGCAACAGGUUAAGACCCCGCUGUUCUGACGGUACGCAAAGAAGAAGCACCGGCUAACUUCGUG
rnacentral:rRNA from 1 species